rnacentral:misc_RNA from 1 species
AAACAAUGCAAUGUCUUAUAGAGGUCUAGCAAGAACUAAGUACAUCAAUUUUUUUUUCACAAAAAUGCACAAUUCAACUGAUUUCAUAUAUAAAUGAAUGAUAUAAAUCAGGCUAUUAUGACCGCUAUACAGAUGCAUCAACAACCCAGCGCUUAAUCGAUAGAACAACAUAAUAGAGCGAGUAGGAUAAAGAUGCUAGCCUAAUAAAUACACUGGGCAAAGUUUUUUUCAUGAUUCAGAUCCCCCAGUGGACAUUUCAACCAUUGUGCAGGACAUCCAACACCUGAGUUCUCACCUAGAUCUAGUUGCUUUUCUCCACGUUAAGCGUUCUUUUAACACUUGUCAUUUUUUUCCCCUAAACUCUGGUCUCGCCAAUUCUCUUUAACUUGGGCAUCAGAGGAUCCCUGCUUGUGCUUCGUCACGCCCCAAAAGUCUCCGACAUCGUCUUUCUUGUUUUGCAUGUCCCCUCUAAGACCAGAUCGUGGGACCUCUCCUUAUCUCCUUAUCUGUGGAACCAGAUUUUGGCUUCAUUUAUCAUAUAAUAUUAUUUACAAACAUUCAGUUACAGUUGUUGACUAUCUUCUUGAAUGAGCUUGGCUUGAACUCCUUCCACUAACACCUGAUAACUGUUUUAGAUUUGUAAGAGCAUCCUGAGCAUGCCUCUUUGUGUUUGCAUUACCAUGCUUAAAGGCUUCCACCAAAGCCCUAACAAGAGACUGAUUAAGGGAAUGCCGAUGGGAGCAUCCUUCCACCCUCAAUAUUCUAUCUAUUAUCCAAAUUGCCUUCUCUUGGAGAUCUCCAGGUCGAACUUCUGUGAAAAGAACAAUCACAGCAUCAACAACCCCUUGUUGUUCAAGCUCCUCAACAGCUCUUUUACAGCUAUUUGAAGUAUCUGGCACAAGAGUUGAAAGUGUUUCAACGGCAGCAAUUUGAACAUUAGUAUCCUUGUCAGUUAGAAGAUCAACCAGGGGUUUGAUACAAUUGCUCUUUAGCAAGCAUAACUGACUACUUUCAUCACAUGGAACACUGUGUAAUGGACAAGUGGAAGGUUUAGGAGGACCACUCCCACACAUGAAGAUCCAAGAAGCACAAAAUCCGCGGCGAGGUGGUGGUUCUGAUUUAUCAGAAACAAGUAACCUGCCAGCUUCUGAUAAGUUUUUCAAUCCAAGAGCAGCUAGUUGUUUUGCUUUUGGUUUUGAAGGAAAACCAAGCUGCUCACAGAAAAUGGCCAUAAGAUGAUACUCUCUGACCAUACCAAGAGUUUGCUGAUCAAGGUUCUUCGUGAAGUGGAGUAAGAGACCGAGAAUCCCUUCAAUCAUGCUUGGUGCUGGCCUUGAUAUUCUCCCAUUGGCACUCCGGUGCAAGUUUUUGAGAGAAAAAACUGCCCAUCUUACAAAACUAGCUCCUAGGAGUGCUUUCACUUCAUCCUCGGGGAGGGGAAGGUUAGCUAGUAUGCAUGCAGCAUCAGAUCUCUCACCAUCAGUAGAUGUGUCAUCCAUCAGUUUUUCUUUCAACAAAGGAAGCUUAUUACAUGGUUUUAGCUCAUGUAAUAAAUCUUGACCAAAUCUCCCUGAGAGUAAUCUCGUAAUCCUAAAAGCAUUAAUUCGGAGUUCAACCUCAGGAUGCUCAAGAAAUGGUAUAAUGGUUUUGAUGCCAUCACCAAACUUUAUAUGAGUUGUAACUGACUCUGCAGCUUGAGGAGAAGAUGCAAUUCCACAAAGUAUGCGGAGCACAGAAGCUUGACAAUGAGGGGAGACAACAGAUAAAAUCCCUAAAAGACUGAAGAUGAUAGAUUCUGACUGCAUUGAGUGCCCUUUGUUGUCAGCAGAUGCUAAUUCCCAGUGCCCAGGAUUUGAUACUAUGUUAGCUAUUGUUGAAGCAGCCAAUUCCUUAAAUUCUAGUGAAUCAUUCUGAUUUUCAAAAAGAAUGUCUGUAAGAGCUGGAAGUACAGAAGACUCAACAAGAAUGGUUGCAUUAUCAUCCAAACUUGACAGGUUAUACAACGCUUGCAAACUAGGUGCCCUUCCUUCAGGCUUAGACAGUAAUUCAACUAGUAUUUUAGCACUUUGCUGUGCUAUCUGUUCUUUACUGCCAUUUGUUAAGGUCAUCCUUCCCACAAUAGAUGCCAUCUCUAUUUUAACAUCAUCAGAACCUUCACAUAGCCGAGUAAGCAAAGGUUCAAAUCUUCCAGCUGCUGCCAAAGGCUGAAUAUUAUCCUCCUGUCUCUCCAUCCUCUUCAACACCUCUUCUGCAAGCUUUGACAAUGCAGGAUGCUCCAGGUUUCCUGCCAUGCUUGACAGAAGAACUAAUGCGCCCUUUUCUGAUGCAAUUUUAAUACAAUAAGCUUCAUCACUGGUGAACUCAAGUAAUAACUUCACAGCAUACUCCCUCUCUUUCUCGGAACUCCCAAUUAGACCAUGUAUUGCCAAUCUAGUGAUACCCUCUUCAAGCAUAAUUUUCUUACUCUCUUCAUCGUUGAUCAUGCUGAGCAAAGUCAAAAGAGAUUUGGCUCUCAAAAGCGUGCCAAUACUCUUGGAAGAAUUCCUAAGCAACUGAACAAUAAGCACCACCACACCAGCAUUCCUAAUUCUAUAUCUAUUGGAAGGAUGCUCCUCCGAAAUCUUGUAAAUAUUAUCUAAUGCUCGUUCAAUGCAAUCCACCUGGACAGGCUCCUUACUGAGAUCCUCCACUGCAGAUUUAACAUGAACCUCAACAAUUCUAUUAGUCCACUCCUCAAUAGCCCCUGCCAACCCAAUAUUGGGCUUCACCUCCAAGGACUUCAAAACCUGCCCAGUGACUGGACAAGUUGGCUGUCGACCGUCCUCUAUGCAGCGGUGGAACCAAUAGUUGAUGGCUUUCCUCUCGUAAGUCUGAGAAGACUCCAAAACCACAGGCUCCUUCAUAACUUCCUUAGUCAAAGGACAAAGAAAAUUCUUAAGCGGAGAAAUGUGCACAUCCUCUUCAUUAGGAAGGUCCAAAUUGAAGGUAGCAAUGCCAGGGUCACUGGACCAAUUCUCCAGAAUUCUCUCCAAGGAAAACAGAAUUCUCCUUUCUGAUACAGAAUUGGAGAGUGCCAGAUCGCUUUUUAACAGCCUCACUUGCUCUGCUAGUUGUGCAUUAUUUUCAGAAUCAAUGCCUAAAGCUCGAGCAAAAUCCAUUACAAUAGCGCUUUGCACAGCCUUGGUUGUUUGCCUCCCUUGCGCUUCUUUUUCCAAUAAACGAUGCACUCGCUCCUCAUUCUCUGUCACUCUGAAGUGAGCUUGUUUCAUAUCUCGAGAGAGAUCGGCGGUUUUCUUGCGGAGAUCAGAGACGUCGUCAGGGAGAGAGGAUUCUAUUAGUGCCAGCCAUGCGCCAAUUGCAGAGGUGCGGUCCUGAAGAGAGGCACACAGCGAGUGGCAGUUGAUCAAGACGAAGAUCUUGCACCUCUUCCUGUAAAGCGACACAGUUUCCGCAGCCUGGGAGAGAUCGACGGAGAUGCCUUUAAGUGCGGUCUGUACUGACGCAGGAAGGUCCUGAGGCGACGGCGAGGACGACCGAAUAAGCUGGUUGAGUAGGAGCUGGAGACGGCGAGCGUAGCCGGAGAAUUGGCGAGAGUUUUCGAAGGAAUCGGGGACGGUGGAGGAGCAGAGGUCGGAGAGGGAGAGGUGGAUGGAGUCAAUCGCCGCCGAUAUCGGUGGUGAUGACAUCAUGUAGCGGCGAUGGAGAAGAUGUGGGAUCGGAUAAUAAGCAUAUGUGGGUAUGAAUUUGACGAACAGUUGAUUAGCAGUAGGAAGUAGUAAAUGAGAGGAAGAAAUGUAUAAAUUGGAAUUUGUAAUUAGAAGAAUGGAAUCCGUUGAU